rnacentral:rRNA from 1 species
AGUGAACGCUGGCGGUAGGCCUAACACAUGCAAGUCGAACGGCAGCACAGUAAGAGCUUGCUCUUACGGGUGGCGAGUGGCGGACGGGUGAGGAAUACAUCGGAAUCUACUUUUUCGUGGGGGAUAACGUAGGGAAACUUACGCUAAUACCGCAUACGACCUACGGGUGAAAGCAGGGGAUCUUCGGACCUUGCGCGAUUGAAUGAGCCGAUGUCGGAUUAGCUAGUUGGCGGGGUAAAGGCCCACCAAGGCGACGAUCCGUAGCUGGUCUGAGAGGAUGAUCCGCCACACUGGAACUGAGACACGGUCCAGACUCCUACGGGAGGCAGCAGUGGAGAAUAUUGGACAAUGGGCGCAAGCCUGAUCCAGCCAUACCGCGUGGGUGAAGAAGGCCUUCGGGUUGUAAAGCCCUUUUGUUGGGAAAGAAAAGCAGCAGGUUAAUACCCCGCUGUUCUGACGGUACGCAAAGAAUAAGCAGCGGCUAACUUCG